rnacentral:misc_RNA from 1 species
GUGAAUCAUCAAAUUUUUGAACGCAAAUUGCACUCUCCUCGGAGAGUAUGCCUAUUUGAGGGUCAGCCUAUAAAAAAUCGACAUCGUUGCUGUUUCGCGGUGGCGUUCGUCGGAAAUUGGGUCAUCUUAAACCUUUUGGUUUUAAGCGACUUAAAAUUUUCUUUUUUGUUCCAUGAAUGUUUCUAAGAUUUAUUUCUUUACACGUUUAAGAUAUCGAUUUUUAUUAGACUUGACCCUCAUAUCGUAUCGCGCCCCUAAUCUUUCAUUAACUUACCUCAGACAGGUAAGAG